CGCGUAGGAAUCUACCUAUUAGUGGGGGAUAACAUGGAGAAAUUCAUGCUAAUACCGCAUAUGCCCUACGGGUAAAGAGGGCCUCUUCUUGAAAGCUCUUGCUAGUAGAUGAGCCUGCGUCGGAUUAGCUUGUUGGUGGGGUAAUGGCCUACCAAGGCGACGAUCCGUAGCUGGUCUGAGAGGAUGAUCAGCCACACUGGGACUGGAGACACGGCCAGACUCCGUACGGGAGCAGCAGGUGGGGAAUAUUGGACAAGUGGGCGCAAGCCUGAUCCAGCAAUACCUCGUGUGUGAAGAACG
rnacentral:rRNA from 1 species